rnacentral:misc_RNA from 1 species
GUGAAUCAUCGAAUUUUUGAACGCAAAUUGCACUCUCCGGUUUUCCGAGAGAGUAUGCCUGUUUAAGGGUCAGCCUAAAAAAAAUCGACAUUGUUGCUGUUAUUUAAUGGUGACUUUCGUCGGAGAUUGGGUUAUCUUAAACUUUUUUUUUUUUUAUUUUUAUCAACUUAAAAUUUUUUUUCAUGAUUCUAAUGACUUU